rnacentral:pre_miRNA from 1 species
UAUGUACUCCCUCCGUUCGGAAUUACUUGUCUAAAAAAUGGAUGUAUCUACAACUAAAAUACAUCUAGAUACAUUCAUUUCUUGGACGAGUAAUUUCGAACGGAGGAAGUAUUUA